GUGCUUUCUUCAGCAGCACAUAUACCAAAACUGGAACAAUAAAGAGAAGAUUAGCACAGCUCCUGUACAAAGAUGACACGCAAAUUCAUGAUUUUUCUGAUUUAA
ensembl:snRNA U6 U6 spliceosomal RNA